rnacentral:rRNA from 1 species
UACGUAGGGUCCGAGCGUUGUCCGGAAUUAUUGGGCGUAAAGGGCUCGUAGGCGGUUCGUCACGUCGGGAGUGAAAACUCGGGGCUUAACCCCGAGCCUGCUUCCGAUACGGGCAGACUAGAGGUAGGCAGGGGAGAGCGGAACUCCUGGUGUAGCGGUGGAAUGCGCAGAUAUCAGGAGGAACACCGGUGGCGAAGGCGGAUCUCUGGGCCAUUACUGACGCUGAGGAGCGAAAGCGUGGGGAGCGAACAGG